rnacentral:rRNA from 1 species
UACGGAGGGGGCAAGCGUUGUCCGGAAUUAUUGGGCGUAAAGCGCGUGUAGGCGGCUUGGUAAGUCUGGUGUGAAAUCUUGGGGCUCAACCCCAAGCCUGCACUGGAUACUGCCUGGCUAGAGUCCGGGAGGGGAGAGCGGAAUUCCCAGUGUAGCGGUGAAAUGCGCAGAUAUUGGGAAGAACACCGGUGGCGAAGGCGGCUCUCUGGAACGGUACUGACGCUGAGACGCGAAAGCGUGGGGAGCGAACAGG